AUUGAACGCUGGCGGCAGGCUUAACACAUGCAAGUCGAGCGGGGGAAGUUGCUUCGGUAAUUGACCUAGCGGCGGACGGGUGAGUAAUACUUAGGAAUCUGCCUAUUAAUGGGGGACAACAUCUCGAAAGGGAUGCUAAUACCGCAUACGCCCUACGGGGGAAAGCAGGGGAUCACUUGUGACCUUGCGUUAAUAGAUGAGCCUAAGUCGGAUUAGCUAGUUGGUGGGGUAAAGGCCUACCAAGGCGACGAUCUGUAGCGGGUCUGAGAGGAUGAUCCGCCACACUGGGACUGAGACACGGCCCAGACUCCUACGGGAGGCAGCAGUGGGGAAUUGUUCGCAAUGGGCGCAAGCCUGACGACGCAACGCCGCGUGGAGGAUGAAGAUCUUCGGGUCGUAAACUCCUUUCGAUCGAGACGAAUGCCCUUGGGGUGAACAAUCCCGAGGGGUGACGGUACCGAGAGAAGAAGCCCCGGCUAACUCCGUGCCAGCAGCCGCCGCGGUAA
rnacentral:rRNA from 1 species